rnacentral:lncRNA from 1 species
GAAAUAGUUCUCCUUUUGUUCCGUUGAGUUCUUCAGGAAGAAGACAACUUUAAGUAUCAAUUUCCCUUGGAAAAAACCCAACUAGUAAUAUGAUAGGAAAUCUUUCUGUUUAUUACAUUUUUACAGUUGCAGGCUAUAGAUCUGCAAAGAGCUGGUCUUGAUCUUUUUCUAGAUUUAGCAUUUGGCUGAUUUGUCCAAGUGUGUCAGUGGACUGUGUGCCCUUGGAGAAGGCUGGAAAUCCAGGAGCAGUUUCAUUUUGCAAAAAGCUCCAUCAGUGGAGAUGAUACAUGAAGAGAAGAAUAACCAAGAAAAACAGUUUUAACUUUCUUCAGAAUGUGUAGCUUGGAAUAGAGUUGGCAAGGUCUCCGAUAUGAAUUCCAGGGAAAUUCUCUGUAUCCCGUGAGCACAGAGCUGUUUCUGUGUGUGAGACCCUGCUGGUGGUCUGUUAUUUGCAGGAGGAUUUUUUGCUUGCAAGGAGAAUUUUGCAACCACCAAGUGCAAACUUUUCUGGAAGAGCUCUGGUUUUCAUACAAAUCUCUGAAUCUCUCCAGAUGGCCUUCCGGAGACACGCUGGGUGAGUGGAAAAUGUAA